UUGGCGAGUUUAAAAUUUUAAAUAAUGUUCAUGAUUUGUCUAUAUUUAAGUUUUGUUUAAGAUGCAUAUCUAAAUGAGAAAUAUCUAUAUACGCCAUGAAAAACCACGGAACCGAUUUCAACAAAUUGUCAAAAUUUAAUUGGAAUGCAUUUUAAUGUUGAUGGAAGUUUUUGGAAAAAAUUAACAAUUUUUUGUUUUUGUAAAUCAUCGUAUACCAGCUUUAUGAAGAUUUAACUAUAAAAUUGGAUAAGAACUAGUAAAACUAAAGUAAUGCAUACCAGCGGAUAUUUUAAUAUUUUGUGGAACUUAAAUUGUUUUUAAAUUUGGAAAUUUAUGAGAAUCAAUAUGAGUUGUAGGAAAUCGCAACAGCAUUUUAAUAUUUUGGCGCAACUUUGAUUUAUAAAAGGAGGGAAAUUGCGUUUUUUCGAUUUUUUUGUAUUAAGUUCAAAUAUUUGCAUUAUAAGCAAAAAACGUAAUUGACGGGAGUGUCUUGAUUAUUUCAAUGCGCAGUUAAAGAAAUUUUUCAACUUUACAUGCAACAAAUUUUCAAAGGACAUGGUUAAAAUUAUAAAAGUCAAAGCAGGCGAAAUUUUUGUGCAUUACAGCGAUCAAAGCCAAAUGUCCGUAGUACAUGCUUAACUUUUUAAUAGAUACCAAGUAACCGUUUGGAAACGUUUUAUAACAAUUGCAAGUAAAAUGCGAAAUUCAUGAAAUUCAAUUCAUUACUUUUUUAAUGCUGCUGUUUAAAAUAUAGUAAUGUACAAUUGAUAUUUUAGCAGAAAAACAACAAGUUUCAAAAUAAACUCAAAAUAUGUACGUUUAAAUAAAAUAAUAUACAUAUAUUAAAAUGGGAUCGAGAAAUCAGAAGGUUAUAUAAGAAAUAAGUGAUACAAUGCAAUAAAAACGAAAGAAAGGCAAAUAGAUCAGCUUGAAUUGAAUCUGAAUGCAUCGUUAUUGCUAUAUAAUUGAUUUUUUAUGGAGAAGAUCACUUUGUUUCCAAUUUUAAAGAUUCUAAAUAAAAAAGAACAAACAACGUGUAAGAAUAAUACGGCAGUUUUUAUUUAAAUUGAACGAAGCAAGCAAUACCUUGUUUAAAAUAUAUAUACAUACAUAUAUGUACGUAUAUGGUAUAGUGCUAUAAUUACGCAAAUAAUACAAAUUAUAUCAGCGUUAAUAAUCUUCAUAUAAAAGAAAGGACA